GAUGAACGCUGGCGGCGUGCCUAGUACAUGCAAGUCGAGCGAACAGACGAGGAGCUUGCUCCUCUGACGUUAGCGGCGGACGGGUGAGUAACACGUGGAUAACCUACCUAUAAGACUGGGAUAACUUCGGGAAACCGGAGCUAAUACCGGAUAAUAUAUUGAACCGCAUGGUUCAAUAGUGAAAGACGGUUUUGCUGUCACUUAUAGAUGGAUCCGCGCUGCAUUAGCUAGUUGGUAAGGUAACGGCUUACCAAGGCAACGAUGCGUAGCCGACCUGAGAGGGUGAUCGGCCACACUGGAACUGAGACACGGUCCAGACUCCUACGGGAGGCAGCAGUAGGGAAUCUUCCGCAAUGGGCGAAAGCUUGACGGAGCAACGCCGCGUGAGUGAUGAAGGUCUUCGGAUCGUAAAACUCUGUUAUUAGGGAAGAACAAAUGUGUAAGUAACUAUGCACGUCUUGACGGUACCUAAUCAGAAAGCCACGGCUAACUACGUG
rnacentral:rRNA from 1 species